rnacentral:lncRNA from 1 species
AGGGUUCUAGUACGCAGCAAUGGCUUCUGCAACCUUUAUCUGAAUGUCCCACAAGAGCCCUAGUUUCCGCUGAAAGAGCUAUGUUUCAAUUGCUUGGCAUCCUUUCCAAAUUAACUUCUUGUAACUGCGACUGAAUAGAAUUUGUCUUGGGCCAAAGCGUCAUAGGGGGAGCGCGCCCUCAUACCGGCGGAGCCUUGUCUCUGGCAGAGUGCGACUAUGAACGGGCACACAGAGGACAUGGACGGAGUUGGGGGCCAGCAUUCUGUGCAGGAGCGAUUGGGACCUCGAAAGCUUAUCAAUCGCACCGAGUUCGUGCGCCUUCUUGAGCAGGCACUCCAUCGCCUUGGCUAUGCUGAAGUUGCAAGCCUUUUAGAACAUCAAGCGGUGCGUAUAUUGUAGCAUUUGUACUUCCUCC